rnacentral:rRNA from 1 species
CGACGCCGCGUGGAGGAGGAAGGCCUUCGGGUUGUAAACUCCUUUUAUGUGGGAAGAAACAAAUGACGGUACCACAAGAAUAAGCCCCGGCUAACUCCGUGC